UGUUUAGAAGAGAAAUAAUUUUCCAUUUUUUCAGUUAUACUCCACUCUGGGACCUGGGGAAGAGACAAGUCUAGAUCUGGAAUAAAAGAUACUGCAGAGAGAUCGGAAAGAGAAUCCGACAUGCUAGCUACGGCAGAACUAUCCAGCAGUGGGUCUGUAAUAGAAGGAUCAGGCUCGUUCCAGGUCGGGACAGAGAAACUAUCAACAGGAUAUAUGAACACUGAUCUGCUGAGACACAAAGGCGACAGGCGUAGCUGUAACAACAGAGUUCUAGAAAGAGGAGAUGAUUCUGGAAUUUGGACAGGUGUCGGGCGGGGGAUAUGGACCACCAGUUAGAAUAGAGUUUGGAAUCACCAUGGAGGCUUAUACUCGCAAUCCGUGAAUAUCCUGCAGUAAACAAGAUUAGGAUGCGAAUCCUGGGUCGGACAGAUGAUAUGAGUGGGAUUAGGACCACCAGUUAGGAGAAAGUUGGAAUCGCCAUGGGGGUCAAGCCUGCAAAUUCCUAAAUAGUAUGGGUAGGAUGUGAAUCCUAGGUGGACUAAUAGCAGGCCUUAUUCCUGUUAUAUCGAGGCCGGAGCCUAUUAAUAAAUGUUUAAUAAAUUGUCUUAUUUUA